AAAUGCACGGGCUGCCCGCGAGAAGGAGAGAGGCCGGAGACAGUAAAAGAAGAACGGGGUAAAUAAAUAAGGGGCAACUCCGCUGUUACAAGACGAGCGCUUGGAGUUACGAGGAGAGGCGAGCUGGAAAAGGGCCCAUAAACUGCGUUUACUGCCCUCGUAGCGCGCUAUUAAAAAAGUAAGGGUCGGGAAUUUUAUGUCCUGUAUCAUAAAUCCAUCAGCUGAAGCCAGGGACUCAAUAGCGGCCUGAUCAGUUGCUACCAGACUGCCGAGCAGACAACACACGCUCGCCACUGCCUGCAGAACAGAUUUCAAAAAUCAACCACGCUCGGUUUUUUUGUUGUGUGUGUUUCUCCGAGAUCCGACGAGCUUUGUGCUUUGCCGCUAUACCACAACCAUCUGAGGUCCACUGCAACGACUGGAGGACGUGAGACCUUCGGGUGCGUCCUUGCCACCCGCUUUGCAAAUGUGAGUGUGGUGGUGUGCUUUAUUUCCGGCUUCUUGUGUGUGAUUACGAGCCAACCAUCAACAUCUGUGUCAUUUUUCUGCCAUCAUUUAAAUCAGGAGAGAAGGAAGAAAAAAAAAUCACCAUGUUACUGGAGGGUGAGAUAUCGAGGACUACUGGGAAAGUAAGUGUACUGUUCUUCACGCUCAUCUCUCAGAAGGUGGUGCUUCCACUGCUCGAAGACUCGCCACCAUUGUUCAUGCAUACAACAAUUUUUUCUUCAACCCUUCUGUGAAUGUGUGCAAAUCACCACAUGUCACAGGUGACAUUAGUUUUCUCACACACCACACACAAAAGGUUACCUGGAAAUAAGGAGUUUCUAAUUCGCUGUUCAAGAACCUGAUCUGGAAAGAUGGGGGACUGCAUCGUUUACCGGAUAAUACACGUGCAGCAGCAGCAGCAGCAGCAACAACAACAACAGCAGCGAAAGCUAGUGACAAAGAUGGGUGUCACAGGUGUGAGAUGGUCUUUAGUACGAAACCGGUAAAACCGCAUGGAUGGAAAUAGGCUAACGAUAAACUUAUAAACAUUGUGAGGAGAAGAUGCUAUCAGGUCACACACUCAAAUACUGAAAAGAUUAUCUGGCAUCGUGAAAAUCUGCCAAACAACAACAGCAGCAACAACAACAACUAACAGUUUAAAAAAAUCAGGAAAAAGUAUACAUUUCUUUCCGAAAUAAAAUCAUUAAAAACCAGGCAAGCAAGUUUGUAAUUUUCCCCCUGAAAUUUAUGACCAAUGCAUAUUUUAUGCAACUAAGUGAAAUAACUACUCUGAACCAUACCGGUUUGAACCCUGCUGCAUUUUCUCCCAAUGGAGGCAAGAAGAUACAAUAUAGUUACAGCAGUUGUCCAGACGAAUAUCCAGCCAAGACUUGACCCCAUCGUUGUCACAGCUGUAUCGCAACUUAAAUAAGACUUAAAGGUAAACAUUCUAUUGAAAACAAUCAAAUGUAAAUACCUCUAAGGACAAUAUCAACAAAACUUAAAGGUAAAUCAUUCAACAUAUACAGAACUUGAAGGUAACUAACUAUCCUCUUGAAAAUAAAAACAAGAGAUUUCCUUAGGCAAAAUGUAUUGACGACAUAAACACGACUCUAAAUUAUCUUAGUGUAAUAAUAAUUCUAAUUAUAACAUACUAAAACAACAAUAAUAGCAACAAUAUAAACCGUUCUCUUGACAACAUAACAAAACAAAGGUCAAAUGAGAUCAUGAAUGGUUCGCAGCUGGUUGUGGCUCACAAUAAUCGAAACCUUUUUUUUUUGAAAGUGUAAAAGCUUCCGCCAUUCUUUGCAGUCUGCUUAGCAGUUUCUUGUGGUUCACCGAGAAAUUUCUACCAAGCCUACAAGAUGGAUGGAUGAGAACAAUAAUUUGCAUAUGUUUUAAGCUCUCUAGUGGCCUCCCUUGACAACGGAAGCAUUUUGCCAUACUACAACGACAUCACGGUGCUGACCGAACAAGAAUGCUGAUAUUUGAAGAUUGUUAUCUCAUGACAGGAAAGUGCUCCUCCUUCUAAGUUUUAUUUUUGUCUUAUGAAGAAGCAAGAUUGUCUUCUUUUAUUUCUAAAAUGUAUAACGACGACGAACACUUUGAAUACAGUUACGACGGUGCUAAACAUUUAUACCAAUCCCCCUCUCCUCCAAAAUUGGAAGAAAAUAAAAGGAUGAAGUGAGGGAGAAUGUGUGAAAGAAGGAUUAUCAAAAGCAAGAACUACUUUGUCUUAAGACUUGGAUUCUAUAACUGAAUCCUUUUCCGACUUAUUUUGAGUUACUAGUACAACUUUUGCGUGUUUGGAAGCGAUUGUUGUUAGAUUCGUCAAACAAAACGUAGGCUAGCAGUGCGCAUGCGCGUAAGUAGCGGAACUGUGCACAAUGCUCGACUCCCAAGACGUGUUGGAGGGCAAGCAUCUCUCCUGCCCAGCGUCUCCUCCUCCCGCAAGGUCAGCACGGCGUCUGCUAGUUAAUCACUUUCUGUAUCUCCUUACCCACCCUGGCUCCGGGGCGCGCAUCCCCCCACAGGGCUUGCACCGUUAAUCAGCUGCACGUGCGGUUGUCAUGGCGACGGAACAGAGUAUCGCGACUUGACCCUCAGAAACGAACUGUGACGUCAUGAUCACACACGCUCGGUUCUCCAGGGUAAAGCCACUCACACUCUCACGACCAUGAUCCCCCCGGAAUCCACACCCGGAUUCGAACUCUCAGGCAAAAGGGACCUGGAUGAAGGGAUAACAAUAAUUCAACCAAGGGCUGUCAGGGCUGGGGAGGGAUGGGAGAAUAAAGGGAAGCAAGGGAUGGGUGGGUAAGUUGAGGAAAAGGACAAGAGAGUUCGAAUGUUGGGAGUGGAAAACGGGUACGGGUACUCUUGCAAGCUAAAUGUGUCUAUAUGUGUGCGAGCGCGCUGCUUAUAUAUGUUGGGUGAGUAUACUAUUUCUAUUAAUACUACUACUGUAAAUCAUACUGCUAAUAAUAACAACGUACAUUUAUAUAGUCUACAUUAUUUCUUACAAAAGUGUGGGAAUGUUUUAAGGAUCAUCCAUUAAAAAAGUAAACUAAAAAAAAACAACCAACAAACAAACAAACACAAAAAAAACAACAACCAAAAAGCGAAAAAAAACAAACAAACAAACAAAAACAAACUCAUAUGAAGUUCAGAUCACUAAAAGUAAAAACUUCAUAUAGUCUUUCUUUCUCUCUCUCUGAACCUUGUACACUGUAACGGCAAUGCUUAUUCACCUGCACGUGCGCUCUUCGCCGAGUUCAAGUACGCACGUGCACAAUACUGUUCUUAUCUUUCCUUACCUGAGGGCAUAGAGAGAUUAAGGGGACUUAACUCCCGCUGACGCGAGGUGAGGCCAUCAGCAGAUUUGUGCGCAUAUCCAACACACACGGCGUAGACACACUUUAUGGGGUUAUGCAUAUGCAUGCGCACAAAUAAAUUGCGCGCGCGCGCUCCCUCACCACCGAGCAUGCCAGCAUCGUUGCCAGAUCGGACAGCACCUCAUCAAUAAGCGAUAAACCGCUGGGCGGCUGAGCUUGGCGCUUUCAUACUGUGCGUCACUUCCGGUGUAUCGUCUGGGACGUUAUCAGCCAGCGGGAAAGGGGAGCUUACCCUCCUCUACCGGCGGCGGUCGGGGUGUCUGUCCAAAGAGAUAUCCUUUGAGACAUUUUGAAAUAUCAGUAUAAUUCUUACAUAAAUUACCUCCCUUGCUUCAUGUUCCCGCCACUUGUCCCCAAGAUCAGUUGACCUUUACGCACUUGUCUUUCCACAUUUUUUAAUGUUUUAGAUGGAUUUUCUCAUGUAAAAUCCAUUUUUUCUGUUUUAUUUAACAAUCGUUAUUUCUGACAUUUUUUAUUAAUUUUAAUUUGAAGACGCCUAUUUUUGUUGCUGCUAUUAAUAGUUACAGCAGUUUAAUUAACCGAUAUUUUCACAAAUAAAAAAUUAGUUUAUAAAGUUCCUUUAAAACACAAUACAAUUCUAAGACAUCUCCAAUUAAAUAAAAUUAAUUUAUGAGCCAAAGACUUAUUUUGUAAUGUAAAAUGUAAUUAGCACCUCUGGCAGCACCAGACAACAUAUCCCUUCCUCACGUGCGACAAAGGACCUUGUUAUUUAUUCAUUCCCUCAUUUACUCCUCUAACUGUUUACCGUGGUUGGGGAGUGACCCUGCCCAGGCACUGACCCUGCUUCAUGCUGCUGCGCUUGCCGAGCGUUCAAUAGUCGCGGGGAUGAUGGAGGGCUGAGUGCAGCUCAGCCGCCGCCGAGAGGUGAUGUGUAUAGAUUAGCGCCUGCCAGAGGGUCGGCCGCUGAUUGGUUAAUAAGAAUGUCAAUUACAGAGUUCAGUGAUUGCGUCAGGGUGCAGACAAAAUGGCCUUACUAGCUAACAAGUGCACAGCCUGUAAUUCAACGCCAGGGACAACUCGUACAUCAUGUUUAUGCAUUAUUCC
rnacentral:lncRNA from 1 species